AAAAUAAAAAUAAAAGUGUAACAACACAUAACAUCAAUAUAAAACAAUAAAAGCAUAAUAAAUACACAGAAGUCAGAUACAACAGCAGUACAGAGAAUGAUCAGACAUUACGCAAUAAAGUGCUUUCUACGAAAAAGGUUUUUAAGAGCUCAUUAAAACUGUUGACUGACUCUGCAAUUUUUAUUACUGAAGGAAGGCGGUUCCAGAGGGCCUCGCUCACAGCACUGAUCAGCAGACUUCAGUGAUCUCAGCGUGGUCAGAGGACUCAGUAAUUCAGAUAUACAGGUUGGGGCCAGUCCGUGUAGAGCCUUAUAGUUCUGCAGGAAUUGAACCUCCAACCCUGACGGUGUUGGUGCCUUGCUCUGCCUGUUCAAUAACAGGCUGACUGUUAGCACAGCGUGACCUUUGACCUUCACUCAGCCUGCUGGGAGUCCGUUGGUUUCCGUUUCCACCAGGUGACACUCAGCAGAGUUCACAGUUCAACCUGAGGACAGCGCAGUGAAACUCAACAAACCGAGAGAGGGAAAGUAAAAACAGAGACGUUAGAAGGUCGGAGGGAGAAGAAGCGGGAAUGUUAGAGAAAACUAACUGAAGACCUUUGGGAGGAGGAAGAGGAAGAGGAAGAGCACACUUUCAUGGUGCUUAAACACACCAAUCAUCUGAUCUGAUGAUCUCACCAGUCUGACAUCUGAUCCGUCUACACUUGUUCUGUCUUUUCGUCGACUCAUCUGCACUUAACCUGCAUGAAAGCUGCUAUACUAAUAAAGAUUGAUUGAUUGAUUGAUUGAUUGAUUUUGACUUUUCAAAAUGUCUCCGACUGACAGUCCAAAAUCCAGAGAUUAGAAGAUAGAAGAGUACAAAAACCAGAAAAUAUAUACAUUUGAAAAGCUGGAACUAGUGAAUUUUUACCAUUUUUGCU